rnacentral:lncRNA from 1 species
AUGAUUGCGUGGCCCUCACGGCUUAAAUCUGGGCACAGCGGCUCAGCCCAGCAGUUUGUGCCUCCCCUCUAUCCGAGCGUCUUUGCGAGGACUGGAGCGAGGAACAAGGCAAGCCUUGGUUCUGGAAGGUGCUCACGUCUCCAGAGCCACUUCUGCUUUUCUCCCAGCCCUGUUCCCAACAGGCAGCUGGGACAUCCAGCAGGAGCACCUGCAGCAGCAGAGGUGAGUUGCAUGGGGACACCUUGCACAGGCAGCAUGAGGUUCCUCCUUGAGGGACCCUCCCCACCCCAGAGAUUUACUGUGACCCCUCUCUUCCUCUUCCAGAGUGACACCCGCCGCUGCAGCUCCUGUGCCUGGGAGGAGAUUGUCACCUGCUGUUCCUCCCAGCCCACCAGUGGCAAGCAUGGCCGCGGCACUGGACACCCGCUGCCCAAUAUGUCUGGACACCUGGGGCAGCGCCGCGUUCACCAUGCCGUGCUGCCACCAGUUCUGCUAUCCGUGCAUCUGGCGGUGGCAGACAGCAAGCCCGAGUGCCCCCUCUGCAAGAGGAGAAUUACAUCUCUAGUGCACUCGGUGCAGGCUGAUGAUCAGUUCGAGGAGCUCGUCAUCAGCCCAUCGGCAGUGGCAUCUGCCAACAGGCCGCCUGUCUGGGCUCCCAUCACCUUCGCUGGCGGCCUCCCCGCGGACACCUGGGGACAACUCUUCCGGAAGCACCCUGCUCUCCUCCAGCCCCUGCUCUCCUGGGUGCGCCGGGAGCUGGGGCGCGUCUUCGGGGCACAGCGUUUGGAGGCGCUCAUCUUGGAGAACGCCGUCAUGGAGAGCCUGCGCCUCUUUGGCCUUGAGGAAGACCUCCUAGUCCAGCUGAUGGAGCUCGACCUCGGCCACCACGCGGCGACAUUUGUCAGUCAGCUCCUGGAAGUCGCCGCGCAACGGUGCAGCAGGGAGGCCCACCGCCUGCUGCGACUGAACGCUCCACCUGCAGCCCAGCAGCGGGAGGUCAGCCCCGCACCCGGACCAUCCGGACACGGAGGGGUGGCUCCUCCACCCGUUCCAGGCCCCUCUCCACAGCCCGCCAGCUCCAGCGGGGAUGAGGUGCCUGCAAGUUCCAGGGACAGCCUGCGAGGGACUCCCAGCCACCCUCACUCCAUCUCUGCUGCGGUCCCCAUGGAACAGGCAGCGCCUCCAGAGGAGCCAUAG